CCUACGGGUGGCAGCAGUGGGGAAUAUUGGGCAAUGGGCGCAAGCCUGACCCAGCAACGCCGCGUGAAGGAAGAAGGCUUUCGGGUUGUAAACUUCUUUUCUCAGGGACGAAGCAAGUGACGGUACCUGAGGAAUAAGCCACGGCUAACUACGUGCCAGCAGCCGCGGCAAUACGUAGGUGGCAAGCGUUAUCCGGAUUUACUGGGUGUAAAGGGCGUGUAGGCGGGAAAGCAAGUCAGAUGUGAAAACCAUGGGCUCAACCUGUGGCCUGCAUUUGAAACUGUUUUUCUUGAGUACUGGGGAGGCAGGCGGAAUUCGUAGUGUAGCGGUGAGAUGCGUAGAUAUUAGGAGGAACCCCAGUUGCGAAGGCGGUCUGCUGGACAGCAACUGACGCUGAGGCGCGAAAGCGUGGGGAGCGAACAGGAUUAGAUACCCUUGUAGUC
rnacentral:rRNA from 1 species